AUGAAAGAACGCUGCCUGUAACUUAACCUCUUUGUGUGCGUUUUUACUCUCCUGGCUGAUCCUGGGAGCAGUUUGAGAAGUCUCAGGAACUGCCUGUAAAUGCAUCAGCCUUGGCAAUGCCAGCACGUUUACAGCCAUUGGAAGGGUUUUCCAUGGAAAGGUACCGGGAUAGUCUUCGUCUGCAGAGGUUGUCCGCACCAGCAGAUGAAGUACGUGAAGGUGCGCAAGCAGGAGUAGCUUGGGAAAUGGGAGAGCAAGUCUUUUGGCACAUUUUGGUGAGUGUGUUGCAUUUGGUGUCUCUAGAAAAACCUGCCUCAAAGUUUCCACUGUCUCCUACUGGCUGAAUAAUGGGCAGUCAGGAAAUUUGUUCUCCUGCCCAUGUCUUCAUCUCUGGUUUGAACUCAGACAUGAGUUUCCAGCUGAGGCAACCUCAUCUCCUGCCUCAUCUGCUUGACUUCCUGCAUAUGAUUUGAGGAAAUUGAUUAUCCUUGAGCAUCAACCAGCUCUCCUGGGACUUUUUCCAGUUUGGUACUGACAGGAUCCUACCUAUGUGUCCCCUGAACAAGCAAAAGUCUGCUUCUCUGAACCCCAAGAUGUUUAUUCUAAUACUUGUCUUCUUGGCUACCCUCCGGGUCUUCCAGCCAGGACUACUCCACCAUUUUAUGGAUAGUCAUUGUGGCCAAAAUUGCCACUGAUUGUUACAUCCUUGACUGUUCACUUGUUUGUAAAUGUCGUGCUUUUAUUAGCCUCGUCUGCACCUAUGAAAAACUGUUGCCAGCACAGACCAGAAAUGUUCAAUACUACUUGCACCCAACAAAAUAUCCAUGUGGUUAGAAGCUCCCACGAGCACUAAAGUACUAAAAAAAGAAACAAUGACCCAUCAUGGUUCCUGAUUUGGUGAUCUGUAGCAGAUGUCCACGAGGAUGUUCUAUUUGUUGAUCUCCUGGAUCAAAAGACUUUUACUCAUUGACUAUGAACAGUCAUGCCACCCAUCGCAUAGAAUUCAGCAUUUGAGCCACUUUUUUGCACAGAGUAUACUUGCCCAACUUGUCUACCCUGACUGAUCUUCCUAAAGAGUUUCUAUCCAUCCAGCACUCCAGUUGUGUGCUGACUCACACUGUAUCUCUGAGUUUCCAGGUGUGUCAUCACUCUACAUCUGCAGCCAUAUUUUUUUUCCUGUGCUGUGUGUGCAUCAGGUAUAUGAGAUGGGCUCCUGAUCAUUCUGUUUUCUCCUUGUGAUUGUAGCCCUCACUAUCUCACCUCAUGAGUUCUUCCACUCAUCACUUCUUGCUCUGUUGUCUGUAGCCUUUAACCUCCAUCACCCAAUGAAGGCAGAAGCAGCUGUAGAUUAGAGCAGAAUUGGUCCAAUUGAUUUCUUGUUGGUCAUGUUUGAACUGUCAGUAAUUUUACAUGGGAACAAGGACAUUAUUUUGAAGUAUCAAACUGAAACCUGAGGGAAAAAAAAAAGCUAUACUAUAAUCUGAAGAAGGUCAAGAAAUGGGGAAGACCUGAUCUAAAGAUGGCAAAAUAAUUGUAUCACACCACAAUUUUUUUUCUGCAGAGACCAUAACAGAAGCAGAAACGUAUCUUCAGCAAAAAAAUGUUGAUAUCUUCGCUAUUAAUAUAACAUUUGCCAUCCUCUGUAGGUAUCAUUCACAUACGAACCGUGAUACAGUAUUUGUCAAUUACUAUAUUUCCCUUGGCUUAAAUGAGGGAAGUUAGUGCAGCGGUUCUCAGAGUUUAUUCUGCUGACAAUCCGCAUAUGUCGAUGUGAGGCCACAUGGUGGAGUCAAAGCCAUGUUCUGUCUGCAGGCUGGUCCCUGUAACAGCCACGAGCAACAGUCUGGGAGAAGCUGCAUCUGUCUGUGCAGAGCUGUCCUUGCAGCCUGGUAUGAUGCUUUUGCUAUAGAUGAUCUCUACAGAGACAUUAUGUGUUGUUGAUGAUGAUUUAUUUAGAGCAAAACUCACAAACACUGCCCUCCCGCUGUUGGCAGGCCUGGAUGGAUCUGUAUUAAAAGUGAAAAGAUCCUGUGCAAAGAUUAGUGAAAAGAUCAAAUUUAACCCUCCUUUGUGCCAAACAAAAGUAAAAUAAGAACUGUUUUGGUUUGAAUCAAAUUACAAAUUAACUUUAGAAAUAAUUUUUCUUUAAGAAGCCAAAGGUAUGGAAGUAAAGAACUAGUCUGCAAAGGGUUGUGACUCAAGUCUCUGGUAUGGUUGAUGGUUUGCCCGGAGGGAGAGCCCUGAGCACUUCUGGUGAUGAGAGAGCCCCAAAUAGUUCUGUUGUCUCUGCCUGAGUGGAUCUAAACUAUUCCCUCCUAUAAUGCAGUUAAGUGCUUUAAGCACUAGCCUGUAUUCUCAGGAUGAAUGAAUGGUUAAAUGUUUCUUUAGUGGAAUAUAAAUAAUUGAUUCUUACUGCACACAUCUAUAUUUCCAACUUUGUCAUUUAAGCCUUUUCUGUAGUUCAUUUUCAAUCUCUUUCGUUUCAGGAAUACUAGAAUGAAAGAAAGAUAUCUGCUCGUGUUCAUUGUGUAUUAUCAUGAAUAAUUAAUUGUAAAUAAAACCAGUGAGGCUAAAUUUUACAUUCAAAUAUUAAUUUAACUCAUCAAGACUCCCAGUGGGCCUUAAAGAGAAACAUCAUGAAAAGUUACAGCUUUGAUCUGAGGGGAAAAAAGAUCAUAAUUUCUUAAAAGUGCUGGAAGAGAAUAGAUAGACAUUUGAAAAAGUAUGGGGGGAAAAAGGUAUGAAGAAGAUUAAAAAGGAGCUCUGAACGCAUGUACAUACAAGACAUUUCUUUCAUGUAGGUAUGUGAAAUUCAGGUUUAAAUCUUUUCUCCAUGAGCUUUUGCAACUGCUUACUCUUGUUUAAAGUAUGUUUAUAGAAGCGAUGCUUUAUUCAACAUCAGAAAAUCUCAAUAAAUUUUUAUAAAAUAAUGGAAAGUAACAAAAUCUCAGUAAAUCUCUAGUGCCAGAUAACCAUCCCUAUUGUUAAUUCCAAGCUGAUGGAUGAUUUUGAUUGUACUUUUAGAAGUAUUAUUCUAACACUGAACACUCCUCUAUGAAAUUGUAAGAAGAUUGAGUGUGCCCUAGAAAGAUAUUUUUUCCCAAUCUUUUCUGUCUUAGAUAAAAAUAUCAGUAAUAUACAUUCCAUAAUCCUAUUAUUUUUCAAAAAAACCAAAACAAUGGAGUCCCAACUCUUUGAAAGAUAUUUUGAAAGAAACUUUCACAUAAAAGAAUGAUAUUUAUUUUCUAUCUACUGUCAUUUAUAAUAAAGAUUACUGUAGUUCCUGAUGGAUUUUUCCAUCUUUAGUACAAUACUAGGGUUUUGACAAAGAGGUAAUGAUUUGUUUCACAAUGACUCAGUGUAAAAAUAAUUUUUUAUUUUACUAUUGUGAAUUAUUUAAUUCUGGACCAAACUACCUACCAGUAAUGUCUCCCGGUCUCUGGAUCGCAGUCUGGAACUGAAGUGCCUGGUGAGUGUCUCGCUUCUUCGUGAAACUACAAAUACACCAAACUUCUGGAAGUUUUAUUUGACUCUGGAUCCAGAUUUCAACAUUAGCAUGUGAGGUAUUGCCAAUAGUGAAAGGUUCCAACUCAGAACACUUCUGGGUGUAUCUCAAAGGUCACCUUUAUUGAAUGUUUUCAGAAUACCUCCCUCCCUUCUGCAGUAUCCUGAAAGAUGCCAACCGGGCUAUUAGAGCAGAAGUUGUUAGGUUCUCAGAACUAUUUUUAUCUUCUCCCAAAUAUUUUUUUUUUCUUUUUAUGACCCCCCAGAGACCUUAUAAGUAAUUUGAAAGAGAUUCCAUGGCAUAAUUAUUUUUUGGAAGUUCUGAACUAAGCAAGUAAACGAGUCUCUUCCAUUUCAGACCCUGCAGUUUUAUCCAUAUAUUUGCAUAUAUGUUUAUGUUUAUGUAUAAAAUAUAUACAACCACAUAUAGUCAAACCUUAUCACACUUAGGAUAGUCAGAAUAAAUUUUAUCCUAUUUUUUCUUUUUAAUAAAAUAUAAACUAUGUGUAUUUAUGUUAUUAGAAACAGUUAUUCCUGUCUAUUAAUGUCAAAUAAAUAUUUGUCUUUACAAAAAUCUUAUGAUGAAAGUAACAGUUUGUAACUUGUUAUAGGUAAUAAGCAGUAAACAGUGGUUGUGUUCCUAAUUUUUUUCUCUUUGAUCCCUAUCAAAAAUUAAAUGUCAUUUCAUGCUUCAACUGACUUCCCUCAAAGAACUGAAAGUCUGAUUAAAGCAAACAUGCUUAAUACAAAGUUUUUUUCAAAUUAAACUGACAAAGUUAUUACUAGAACUUGAAGAAAUUACUAUUGCUAUAUGCAAAACACAUGAAAGAUUAAAUAUUUAAGCAGUCUACUUUCUUAAAGGUUUUAGCUGUAAUAUCUGCUUUCAGAAGGAAGAGUAUUAAGUCGGCUUAAUCUUAGAUGUGACAAAAUAUAAUCCUGCUCAUUGCUUAUAUCUGAUUUUGUAUUCAGUUGGCUGAGAGAUGGUCCACCAAAAACUAUUGCCUUUCGCAGUGUUGCUCUUUGACUUUGGUCAGUCACAUAUUCCUCAGGUCAGCAAAACACUCUCACCAGACUUCCAAUUUGUAAAUUUAUAUUUCUUAUGUUUGUAAAAGGA